rnacentral:rRNA from 1 species
GCUUACGGCCACACAGCCUGGUUCACUCCUGAUCUCGUUUGAUCUCGGAAGCUAAGAUAGGUUGGGCCUGGUUAGUACUUGGAUGGGAGACCGCCUGGGAAUACCAGGUGCUGUAAGCU